rnacentral:pre_miRNA from 1 species
UGUCUGAUUUCUUUAUGUCUGUCUGAUUUCUUUAUGUCUGUCUGAUUUCAUUACGACAGACAUAAAGAAAUCAGACAGACAUAAAGAAAUCAGACA